AACUAAGCUACCGUAGAGUUUGAUCCUGGCUCAGGUAAGUCGUAACAAGGUAGCCGUAAAGUUUGAUCAUGGCUCAGGAUAAGUUGUAACAAGGUAGCCGUACGUCGUAACAAGGUAGCCGUACGUCGUAACAAGGUAGCCGUAAGUGGUAACAGGGUAAGCGUAGAGUUUGAUCAUGGCUCAGAUAAGUGGUAACAAGGUAGCCGUAAGUCGUAACAAGGAACCGUAGAGUUUGAUCCUGGCUCAGGAAAGUCGUAACAAGGUAACCGUAAGUCGUAACAAGGUAACGGUAGAGUUGGAUCCUGGCUCAGGAAAGUGGUAACAAGGUAACCGUAAGUCGUAACAAGGAACCGUAAAGUUUGAUCAUGGCUCAGGAAAGUGGUAACAAGGUAGCCGUAAGUCGUAACAAGGUAACCGUAGAGUUUGAUCCUGGGUCAGCCUUGGACUUAAAAAAUGGAGAAGUAGUAACAAGGUAUCCGUAAGUCGUGACCCAGGAUCAAACUCUA
rnacentral:rRNA from 1 species